GGUAGCUCGUCUUGACAAGAAGCAGGAAGUGGAGAGGAAACGAGCAAAAAAAGAGAAGAAAGUUAAAGAAGAGAAGAAAAGAGAAGAAGAAAAUAUAAAAAGAGAAAAUAAAAAAACAAGAGAAAAAGAAAAAGGAAGAGAAAUAAAGAAGAAAAGAAGCAGAAGAGCGGAUAAUAAGAGAAGAAGAACACAAGACAAGGGAAGAGGAACAUAAAAGGAAAGAAGAAGAAGAGCAGAGGAAGAAAAGAGAAAGAAACGCAGGGGAAGAAAGGAAGAAAAAAGAAGGAAAAAGAGAUGCGAUCAGGAGAAAAGAAGAAGUAAGUAUAGACUUUCCUUCUGAAU
rnacentral:lncRNA from 1 species